GUCCUCGGGGACACUGCGGGGAGCGGAAAGUAAAGAAGCUGGCAAGACAAGCGCCGCCGAAAGGGAAACCUGUUUGCAUGGACGAUGUUCCGAUCCUGACUGACGCGAAAGGAUAGGCCGCAGCGGGUUCAGUGACAGCGAUUGUCCUUCAGCGACUUCCGUUCGCAUAGCCGAGGGAGAAAAGCAGUCGAUUCAUCGAAUAUUUCAUGGAAUGCCAAUCAUGCGGAGAAUUCCGUUCGUGUCGACAAACACGUGGAAGAUCUUCGAGGCGGCGUCGUUGCAAUAAAUACACGAGUGAGAGCAAGGGAGAAAAAUCCAGAGAAGGGAACCGCAGUGAAUAUAACUACUUCAAGGGCUCGGUUCUAUAAAAAUCCAGCUGCAUCGAGAAGCACGAGGAGAAUCUUUCUAAGGGACAGCCGUGCGAUAA
rnacentral:sRNA from 1 species